GACGAACGCUGGCGGCGUGCUUAACACAUGCAAGUCGAACGGAAAGGCCUCUUUUGGGGGGUACUCGAGGGGGGGACGGGGGAGUAAAACGUGAGUAAACCGCCCUUGACUUUUGGGUAACUUCAGGAAAAUGGGGCUAAUACCGGAUAGGGGCUCCUGCCGCAUGGUGGGGGGUGGGAAGUUUCGGCGGUUGGGGGUGGACUCGCGGCUUAUCAGCUUGUUGGUGGGGUAGUGGCUUACCAAGGCUUUGACGGGUAGCCGGCCUGAGAGGGUGACCGGCCACAUUGGGACUGAGAUACGGCCCAGACUCCUACGGGAGGCAGCAGUGGGGAAUAUUGCACAAUGGGUGGAAGCCUGAUGCAGCAACGCCGUGUGCGGGAUGACGGCCUUCGGGUUGUAAACCGCUUUCGCUCAUGACGAAGCUUUGUGUGACGGUAGUGGGUAAAGAAGCACCGGCUAACUACGUG
rnacentral:rRNA from 1 species